GACAGAGGGUGCAAACGUUGCUCGGAAUCACUGGGCGUAAAGAGCGUGUAGGCGGUCCGGUAAGUCCGCUGUGAAAGUCGGGGGCUCAACCCUCGAAUGCCGGUGGAUACUGUCGGGCUAGAGUGCGGAAGAGGCGAGUGGAAUUCCUGGUGUAGCGGUGAAAUGCGCAGAUAUCAGGAGGAACACCUAUUGCGAAGGCAGCUCGCUGGGACGUAACUGACGCUGAGACGCGAAAGCGUGGGGAGCAAACAGG
rnacentral:rRNA from 1 species